AGUGAACGCUGGCGGUAGGCCUAACACAUGCAAGUCGAACGGCAGCACAGAGGAGCUUGCUCCUUGGGUGGCGAGUGGCGGACGGGUGAGGAAUACAUCGGAAUCUACUCUGUCGUGGGGGAUAACAUAGGGAAACUUACGCUAAUACCGCAUACGACCUACGGGUGAAAGCAGGGGACCUUCGGGCCUUGCGCGAUUGAAUGAGCCGAUGUCGGAUUAGCUAGUUGGCGGGGUAAAGGCCCACCAAGGCGACGAUCCGUAGCUGGUCUGAGAGGAUGAUCAGCCACACUGGAACUGAGACACGGUCCAGACUCCUACGGGAGGCAGCAGUGGGGAAUAUUGGACAAUGGGCGCAAGCCUGAUCCAGCCAUACCGCGUGGGUGAAGAAGGCCUUCGGGUUGUAAAGCCCUUUUGUUGGGAAAGAAAUCCAGCCGGCUAAUACCUGGUUGGGAUGACGGUACCCAAAGAAUAAGCACCGGCUAACUUCGUGCCAGCCGCCGCAGUAA
rnacentral:rRNA from 1 species